UAAGGUGAUAUGAACCGUUAUAACCGGCGAUACCCGAAUGGGGAAACCCAGUGUGAUUCGUCACACUAUCAUUAACUGAAUCCAUAGGUUAAUGAGGCGAACCGGGGGAACUGAAACAUCUAAGUACCCCGAGGAAAAGAAAUCAACCGAGAUUCCCCCAGUAGCGGCGAGCGAACGGGGAGGAGCCCAGAGCCUGAAUCAGCAUGUGUGUUAGUGGAAGCGUCUGGAAAGGCGCGCGAUACAGGGUGACAGCCCCGUACACAAAAGCGCAUGUGCUGUGAGCUCGAUGAGUAGGGCGGGACACGUGGUAUCCUGUCUGAAUAUGGGGGGACCAUCCUCCAAGGCUAAAUACUCCUGACUGACCGAUAGUGAACCAGUACCGUGAGGGAAAGGCGAAAAGAACCCCGGCGAGGGGAGUGAAAAAGAACCUGAAACCGU
rnacentral:rRNA from 5 species